UACAGAGGGUGCGAGCGUUGUCCGGAAUCACUGGGCGUAAAGGGCGCGUAGGCGGCCUGUUAAGUCGGGUGUGAAAGCCCUGGGCUCGACCCAGGAAGUGCACUCGAAACUGGCGGGCUUGAAUAUGGAAGAGGGUCGCGGAAUUCCCGGUGUAGAGGUGAAAUUCGUAGAUAUCGGGAGGAACACCAGUGGCGAAGGCGGCGACCUGGGCCAAUAUUGACGCUGAGGUGCGAAAGCGUGGGGAGCAAACAGG
rnacentral:rRNA from 1 species